rnacentral:rRNA from 1 species
GAUGGCCAGGCUGUCUCCACCCGAGACUCAGUGAAAUUGAACUCGCUGUGAAGAUGCAGUGUACCCGCGGCAAGACGGAAAGACCCCGUGAACCUUUACUAUAGCUUGACACUGAACAUUGAGCCUUGAUGUGUAGGAUAGGUGGGAGGCUUUGAAGUGUGGACGCCAGUCUGCAUGGAGCCGACCUUGAAAUACCACCCUUUAAUGUUUGAUGUUCUAACGUUGACCCGUAAUCCGGGUUGCGGACAGUGUCUGGUGGGUAGUUUGACUGGGGCGGUCUCCUCCUAAAGAGUAACGGAGGAGCACGAAGGUUGGCUAAUCCUGGUCGGACAUCAGGAGGUUAGUGCAAUGGCAUAAGCCAGCUUGACUGCGAGCGUGACGGCGCGAGCAGGUGCGAAAGCAGGUCAUAGUGAUCCGGUGGUUCUGAAUGGAAGGGCCAUCGCUCAACGGAUAAAAGGUACUCCGGGGAUAACAGGCUGAUACCGCCCAAGAGUUCAUAUCGACGGCGGUGUUUGGCACCUCGAUGUCGGCUCAUCACAUCCUGGGGCUGAAGUAGGUCCCAAGGGUAUGGCUGUUCGCCAUUUAAAGUGGUACGCGAGCUGGGUUUAGAACGUCGUGAGACAGUUCGGUCCCUAUCUGCCGUGGGCGCUGGAGAACUGAGGGGGGCUGCUCCUAGUACGAGAGGACCGGAGUGGACGCAUCACUGGUGUUCGGGUUGUCAUGCCAAUGGCACUGCCCGGUAGCUAAAUGCGGAAGAGAUAAGUGCUGAAAGCAUCUAAGCACGAAACUUGCCCCGAGAUGAGUUCUCCCUGACUCCUUGAGAGUCCUGAAGGAACGUUGAAG